AGAUCCCAACCCUCUGGCACUCUCAUCUCUUAGCUCAGACAGAGCCCACUCCACCCCGCAGGCCCCUUUCUACCAAACCCUCUCCUGGCACCCAUCACCUCACACAGCAUGGCCCCAUGAGGCACCAACUCCUCCCCUGCUUCUCUACACUUGCCCUGUACAUGACCACCCUGGCCAUGGGGCCUUCCACCCCCGCAAGAGCAUGCAUAGCGCAGCUCACUCAAUCUGGUCCUUCACCUCCCUUCCCUG
rnacentral:lncRNA from 1 species